AUACGUAGGGUGCAAGCGUUGUUCGGAAUUACUGGGCAUAAAGCGCAUGUAGGCGGUCCGCCCAGUCAGGUGUGAAAGCCCAUGGCUCAACCAUGGAAUUGCACUUGAAACUAGCGGACUCGAGGGCGUCAGAGGAGAGUGGAACUCGUAGUGGGGCGGUGAGAUGCGUAGAUAUUACGCGGAACACCGGCGGCGAAAGCGACUCUCUGGGUCGUUCCUGACGCUGAGGUGCGAAAGCCAGGGUAGCGAACGGGAUUAGAAACCCCAGUAGUCC
rnacentral:rRNA from 1 species